CAUUAUACCGUGAAACUGCGAAUGGCUCAUUAAAUCAGUUAUCGUUUAUUUGAUAGUACCUUACUACUUGGAUAACCGUGGUAAUUCUAGAGCUAAUACAUGCUAAAAACCCCAACUUCGGGAGGGGUGUAUUUAUUAGAUAAAAAACCAAUGCCCUUCGGGGCUCCUUGGUGAUUCAUGAUAACUUCUCAGAUCGCAUGGCUUUACGCCGGCGACGGUUCAUUCAAAUUUCUGCCCUAUCAACUUUCGAUGGUAAGGUAUUGGCUUACCAUGGUUUCAACGGGUAACGGGGAAUUAGGGUUCGAUUCCGGAGAGGGAGCCUGAGAAACGGCUACCACAUCCAAGGAAGGCAGCAGGCGCGCAAAUUACCCAAUUCCGAUACGGAGAGGUAGUGACAAUAAAUACUGAUACAGGGCUCUUUUGGGUCUUGUAAUUGGAAUGAGUACAAUUUAAACCUCUUAACGAGGAACAAUUGGAGGGCAAGUCUGGUGCCAGCAGCCGCGGUAAUUCCAGCUCCAAUAGCGUAUAUUAAAGUUGUUGCAGUUAAAAAGCUCGUAGUUGAACCUUUGGCCUGGCUGGCAGGUCCGCCUCACCGCGUGCACUUGUCCGGCCGGGCCUUUUCUUCUGGAGAACCGCAUGCCCUUCACUGGGUGUGUUGGGGACCAGGACUUUUACUUUGAAAAAAUUAGAGUGUUCAAAGCAGGCCUUUGCUCGAAUACGUUAGCAUGGAAUAAUAGAAUAGGACGUGCGGUCCUAUUUUGUUGGUUUCUAGGACCGCCGUAAUGAUUAAUAGGGACAGUCGGGGGCAUCAGUAUUCAAUUGUCAGAGGUGAAAUUCUUGGAUUUAUUGAAGACUAACUACUGCGAAAGCAUUUGCCAAGGAUGUUUUCAUUAAUCAGUGAACGAAAGUUAGGGGAUCGAAGACGAUCAGAUACCGUCGUAGUCUUAACCAUAAACUAUGCCGACUAGGGAUCGGGCGGUGUUUCUAUUGUGACCGCUCGGCACCUUACGAGAAAUCAAAGUGUUU
rnacentral:rRNA from 1 species